AGUUUAAUGGGCUAUGCGGGAUUCUUUACUUUAAGUGGGUGAGGCUGGAAGGAAAAUUAAAAUGUAUAAUCUUUGAUCCACCCACUUCUAAUUAGUUCUUAGGAUUUUACAUAAUAGAAACUAUAAAGGAAGUGGAGAAGGGGGAAAUGAAAUCAUUACAAACCAAGUGAUCCCAGGCAGCCAAAUUCAUUUUUGAUUCUGCUUUCAAAAGACAAACUGUGGUUAUAAAGACAAAGUUAUAACUUGUUGGAGUGGGGAUUUUUGCUGAAGAUUUACCAGUUGUACAUACCUCUGUUGUCUCAAGCUACAUAACAAUUUGCAGUCGAUAAGAUCAUGCAUCUUUGGAUAUGUCCAUGCUACCUGCCGAAUCGGCGGGCAGCGAUCGAUCCAGCAGGGGUCAAUUUAUCGCGUCUAGUCUAGAUGUGAUAAAUCAACUGGCGGCACCGGCAGAGUCAACGGGGGAGCAGCAGCACUCGACUCACCAUAGUGAAGACAUCGCGGUAUGAGAGCGGAGGAAGUGUUGCUUUCAGGAAAGAAGAUCUAGUAUGUGAGCAGAGCGGCCUACAAGGAGGAACCCUUGGAGCACCCCAGGAGUUAUGUAUCAGUGCACAGGCAGGCCUGCUGCAGCACACAAAGCCCCUGGCAGGCCUAUACCAAUCAGGGCUGUGCAUCUGCAUCAGGGGAUCUGUGAGCUUCAAUCAGGAGCAUGGCGAAGGCUCUCCCUGGAGAUGACCAGGCCCAGCUCAGGGCUAAUGCAGCUGGUGAAUGAAAUUGAGUGAGAAACAAAACCUUGGGAAGGGGCGGGGGAAGCAAUAAAACAAAGUAUUCUCCGUUCUCCUGCUAACCUAGAAAAGUGCCCAGGCCUCAGAAUCAGGCCAGGAGCUGUAUCUGGAUUGUGACAACACGCUCUCUAGGUACGGAUGUGGCGGGACUUUU